rnacentral:rRNA from 1 species
UACGGAGGGGGCUAGCGUUGUUCGGAAUUACUGGGCGUAAAGCGCACGUAGGCGGAUUGGAAAGUUGGGGGGUGAAAUCCCCGGGGGCUCAACCCCCGGAACUGCCUUCAAAACUCCCAGUCUGGAGGUCGAGAGAGGUGAGUGGAAUUCCGAGUGUAGAGGUGAAAUUCGUAGAUAUUCGGAGGAACACCAGUGGCGAAGGCGGCUCACUGGCUCGAUACUGACGCUGAGGUGCGAAAGCGUGGGGAGCAAACAGG